GGAAUUUAUGACAACUAUCACUGAUUAAAUAACAAAUAUCAUAUCUUGUAUGCACGCUUUGGUAAACUGUAUUUACUAUUGCGGUCUCCUGAAGAAGGGUUUCUGGCAGACUAGGAGUUUCUCGUUGCUGCUACUUUCGAGCUCUAUCAUGCGAGCAUCCCAUUUCAUCUGCGAUGCCAAGGAUCUGGCAGUUUCUACGAGAGCAGCUGUAUCACGAAGAAUGAUCCAACCCUCUGGUCUAAGAAUGCGGUCCAUCUCCAAGAAUACAUCAACAAGGGAACAUCUGUGUCGCUG
rnacentral:misc_RNA from 1 species